ACUGUUGACAACAUAAUUUGUUCCAACAGCUGAUGGUUUAAAUUGUGCAGGGGGAGGGGGACAUAUUACGGUCGAAAUUUUAUUUCAUGAAAGACAGUUUAUCACGAAGGACUAAUCCUGCAAAAUUUAAUAGUUAAGCACUAAAACUGUAAUCACCUCCCCUUCUUUUCAAAACAAAGUAGAUCUAUUCUUUACCUUGCUUGUUUACUAUGCUCAGAUCACAGCUACCACAGGCGCAAUCUCUAUCGGCUCCUGGUAUUAUAUGGCCAAUAUUUUUCUUUAUACAGCUGCUAGAUGUUUUGAUUGUGGAUUUUAAAGUUCGAUCACUGAGCUUCAGGGAACUGAUUUAAGGGCUGUCCUAUUAAUUAGAUACAGAUACUGACAAAAGCUCAUACAAAAUCACGGUCGGGUUGUCGGUGUCGGGAUGCUUGGUUUUCAUCGCCAUCAUCAUAUGUGUGUGUUGGUUUUGCUGUAGGGGAUGAACUCAGGCCUCGAAAGUCAAUGCAGAUCUAUCCAAAGUUGCCUUUUUGACCUUUUACAUAGCGCACUUAGAGUUAAGCUGAAAACGCUACAUACGAGAUGAAUUAAGUCAAAUGUUUGUAGAGCUUCUUUAAUUAAAAUUGUGUAAGGACAA